rnacentral:rRNA from 1 species
AUGAUGGAGGCUGCAACAUUUAAGAUGCCUUGUGCCUUGAGACAGUUAUUUGCGACUAUACUGGUAUUCUGUGAGGCAACAGAAAUCCGUCAGAUGUGGGACAAGCAUCUGGUAGCGAUGUCCGAGGACUACCGGCGUAAUCAAUCCAAUGAGGCAAUACUUGAGCAAAUGGUCCUCAGAGAUAUCAGGGAUAUGUUGCAAUCCAUGGGAAUGGAUACUACAAACUAUGGACUUCCGGAAUUGGUUGACGUCGAUGGUUCUUAUGACAGUGUGUACAGACAGGUAACAGAGGAGAGGCAAAUCAGCAUGGACAAAGAACAUCUAGAAUUAUUUACCAGUUUGAACAGUGAGCAGCUGGCUGGUUUCAGUGACAUAAUGGAUAUGUGGUCAACCAAAAAAGUAAGAUAUUCUUUGUUGAUGGUCCAGGCAGCACUGGGAAGACAUACUUGUACAAGGCAUUGCUUGCAAAGGUGCGUUUGA